rnacentral:rRNA from 1 species
AGCNGCCGCGGUAAUUCCAGCUCCAAUAGCGUAUAUUAAAGUUGUCGCAGUUAAAAAGCUCGUAGUUGAAUUUCGGGAUCAAUGCGCCGGUCGUGCCUCGGUACGUACUAACGAUAUUGAUUUCUCCCUUCUGACGAACCGUGAUGUCAUUAAUUUGGUGUUACGGGGAGCUAGGACUGUUACUUUGAAAAAAUUAGAGUGUUUAAAGCAAGCAAUCGCUCGAAUACAUUAGCAUGGAAUAAUGAAAUAGGACGUUCGAACCUAUUUUGUUGGUUUCUAGGAUCGACGUAAUGAUUAAUAGGGAUAGUUGGGGGCAUUAGUAUUCAAUUGUCAGAGGUGAAAUUCUUGGAUUUAUUGAAGACUAACUACUGCGAAAGCAUUUGCCAAGGAUGUUUUCAUUAAUCAAGAACGAAAGUUAGGGGAUCGAAGACGAUCAGAUACCGUCGUAGUCUUAACCAUAAACUAUGCCGACUAGGGAUCGGAUGAUGUUAAUUUUUUAAUGACUCA